GUUACCUGAGGGCAGAGAAACCAUACAACAUCUCUAUGUUCUGAUCCAUGACCUUAGCUUGUAAUGGAGGCUUAUGGCUAUUGCAUGUCCUGAAUCAACUUUAAUUAGUAUAAGAAAUAAAAAAGAAGCAUCCGUAAACAUGCUGAUAGUGUGGCUUUGUGACAGUCCCUUUCUUUCACCAUUGUAAAAUAAGGCAUUUUGGAAUGUGUCAUCUCCACUGACAUGUCCAGCUCUCCCAGUCUAAAGUUCCAAACUUUCUAGGAGAUGUGAAGAAAAGGUAGAGGGCGGCUGGGGAAGAAAAAUUCUGAACUGAUCCUUAUCCAGAUUUAAGAAGGGAUUUCUCAUUCUCAAUGAAUGUGUUUUCAGCAAUUGUAAGUUUGAACCAAACGGUGAAGUGCUUCCUUCAACGAAAUACCUUUAAGUGAAAGCACUUGUGAAAGGGCGGGGCCUGUUAAAAGAAAGUGGGUGUGAAUUUAAAGUCAGAGUGCCAGCUGCAGAGGAGAACAGACCAUCUGGGUUGUCACAGAGCUCUGGUGCCAGGAAGGAUGGACAAGCUUCCAGGAGCAUCAUUUUUAAUUCUAUGGCUUAAGCUAGGCUGGGUGAGUGGCCAGCAGAAGGAGAAAAGUGACCAACAGCAGGUGAAGCAGAAUCCUCAAUCUCUGGUAGCCCAGGAAGGAGGGACUCCAAUUUUGAGUUGUGCUUAUGAUAACAGUGCAUUUGACUACUUCCCGUGGUACCGACAAUACCCUGGUAAAGGUCCUGUAUUAUUGAUGGACAUACGUUCAGUUGUGAGUAAAAAGGAAGAAGGAAGAUUCACAGUCUUCUUCAAUAAAACUGCCAGGCACUCCUCUUUGCACAUCAUGGGCUCCCAGCCUGGAGACUCAGCCACCUACUUUUGUGCAGCAAGAGCACUGUGCUCUGCAGGCAUGUGCAGCCUGUACCCAAACCUGCAGCUGGGGCUCCAGGCAAACCCUGUUGCUGGGGCUUAGGCUGGCAGACACAUAGACUAGUUUUCAGGUACACAUUGUUGUUGUUAGGUGACUUUGAGUCUUUUUGGUUUUUUUUUUGACUCAUAUGGACCCCAUAUGACAGAUUAAACUGCCCCAUGGGGUUUUCUUGGCUGUAAUCGUUAUGGAAGCAGAUCUCCAAGUUUUUGUCCAGAGUAGCCAUAGGGUGGGCUGGAACUUCUUCCAACCUUUCAGUUAGGAGCCCAGCGCUUAACUGUUUACAGCAGCAGAGCUCCUUUAAAACAGUUAAAACAGUGAAUGAAUUUUAUCUUAUGCAAAUGUUACCUCCAUUAAAAAAUCAGUCCUAGUGAAAAAAAAAAAACACACUCCAUACAGGAAAACAAUAAAAACUGUGGCUCAAAUUUAAAAAAGAAAGGGGAACAGAAGUCAAUGGAAUGACGUUUUUAUAGCUUAGAAGAACACAAACAAACAUCUAUAAAACUAAACUGUAUACAAGUAAAAAUACACCUUGUAAAUGAACAUGAAAUAAAGAUAACUUCAGAGGAUAUACACAGAUAAUUAGCUACCAGCAGACAUUGACUACAAGAUAUUUUGAAGAAAAAUUAUCUUGUAGAAAGAGAACAUUUCCAGAGGGAAACUCAGUUUUUACAAAGAAAUAAAGAACACUGGCAAUGGUAAAUAUGCCAGUAAAUAUAAAAAAUUUUCUCUUCCCUUGAUCUCUUUAAAUAAAAGAUGUCUCAAGGCGGGGAGGAGAAGGAAAAACACUAAAUAGACAGUAGAUAAGUGGUAACUUUGGUGAAGGGUAAGACAGUAUACGAUACUGUGGAAGCCAGUACGAUUAGACCAAGGCAAUGUCAUGGAAGCUACAUAGACAUACCCAAACUCCCUGAGGGACUGAAUUGCUGGGCUGAGUGCUGUGGGGACCCUGGACUCAGGGAACAUCUAGCUCAAUUGGCAUAAAAUAGUUUAUAAAGGAAAUGUUCUACAUCCCCUGUUGGUGACUAGCAUCUGGGGUCUUAAAAGCUUGAGAGUGGCCAUCUAAGAUGCUCUAUUGAUCUCACCCCAUCUGGAGUAAGGGCAAAUGAAGAAAACCACAGACACAAGGGAAAAAUUAGUUCAAAGGACUGAUGGACCGUAACUACCACAGCCUCCACCAGACUGAGUCCAGCACAACUAGAUGGUGCCCAGCUACCACCACCGACUGCCCUGGCAGAGAUCACAAUAGAGGGUCCCAGACAGAGCUGGAGAAAAAUGUAGAAGAAAAUUCUAACUCACAAAAAAUAAAAAUCCAGACUUACUGGUCUGACAGAGACUGGAGAAACCCUGAGCAUAUGGCCCCUAGACACCCAUUUAACUCAGUACUGAAGUCACUCCUGAGAUUCACCCUUCAGUCAAAGAUUAGACAGGCCCAUAGAACAAAAUAAGACUAAAUGAGCACACCAGUCCAGGGGCAAGGACAAGAAGGCAGGAGGAGACAGGAAAGCUGGUAAUGGGGAACUCAAGGUUGAGAAAGGGAGUGUGUUGACAUGUUUUGGGGUUGUUAACCCAUGUCGCACAACUACGUGUGUAUUAAUUGCUUAAUGAGAAACUUGCUUGCUCUGUAACCUUUCAUCUAAAGCACAAUAAAAAAAUAAAUAAAUAAAAGCUGUCUGUAUAAAGCAAAAACUAACAACAAUUCAUCAGGAGAUUUGUAGUAUAUGUAGAAAUAAAAUAUUUGAUAAAAAAAGACACAAAAGACAGUGGGAGAUUUUGGAAGUAUACUGUUUUAAGAUGUGAGGUGGCAUAGUAUUAUUUGAAAGUAGACUGGUGAAUUAAAAAUAAUAUUUGUAAACUCCAGUUUAACUAUGAAAAAUAAAACAAAGAGGUAUAGCUAAUAAGCCGAUACAGGAGAAAAAAUGGACUACUGGAAAAUACUGGACUGAUCUAAAAAAGUCAAGAAAAGAGGAAAAAUGAACAAAGAAUAGAUGGGCUAAAUAAGUAAAAGAAAACAAGGAGAUAGAUUUACCCUCACCACGUAAAUAAAUAAGCUAAAUGUAAAGAGAUAAAAGCUCCUAUUUAAACUCAGAGAUUGUUAGGCUAGGUAAAAAAAGAAAAUUUCAAUAUAUUCUAGUUACAAGAGAAUCACAUCAAAUAUAAAGCACAGAUAGGCUAAAAUUAAAAGAUGGGAUAAAAUAUAAUGUGCAAACCUUAAUCAUAAAAAAAGUAUGCAAUGACAAUGUAGGACACAUAGACUUCAAGUUAAAAAGUCUUACCAGACACAAAGAGGACAGCUUUAUUUGCAAUGACUAAAAAGUGGAAAUAACCCAAAUGCUCUUCAAUGGGUGAAUGAAUAAACAUACUGUGGUAUGUCCAUACAAUGAAUGCAAUGCAAUUCUGCAAUAAAGUGGAAUGGGCUAUUGAUACAUACAACAACUUGGAUCAAUUUCAAUGGUAAUAUUCUGAAUGGAAAGUCAACUCCAAAAGGUUAUGUAAUCUAUGGUCCCAUUUAUUAACAUCCUUAAAAUGACAACAUUAUAGGGUUGGAGGAGAGAUCAGCAGUUGGCCAGGGUUAGGGAUGGUGAGGGUGUGCCUAAGGGAGUAUCUUCAGGGUGAUGGAACAGUUCUGUAUGCUGAUUGUAGUGCGGUUAUGUGAACCAAAAAUGUGAUAAAAUUUCAUAGAAUUAUACAGCAACAGAAAAAAAAAUCAGUGCAUGUAAAAACUGUUGAAAUCAGAAUAACGUCUGUAGUUUAAUAAUGUUACGUCAAUUUCCUGGUUUUGAUCACUGUACUAUAGUUAUGUAAGAUGGUAUCAUUAGAGAUAAUUGAAUGAAGUGUACAAGGGAAUGCUGUACUAUUUUUGCAAGUUCUGUGUGAGUAGACUUAUUUCAAAAUGAAAGGUGAAUCUGUGAAGCAACCCGAUUCUUAAACAUCACAGGCCAUAAUGUAAAGCAGGCAACCACUUUAGUAGUGUCUCAUUAAGAAUUCCACUUCUUGGCAUUUACCCGAGAGAAAUGAAAACAUGUACCAUAAAGAAACUUGCACAAAAAUAUUUAUGUCAGUGUUAAUCAUAAUAGCAAUAAACAAGAGAAAAUGUUCACAAACAAGAGACUGAAUAAACCAGUGAAGCUAUAUACCUACAAUGGAACUCUAAUCAGUGAUAAAAUGGACUGAGCCAUUGAUACACAUAACACGAAUAAACCUCAAUAACAUUAUUCCUAGCCAAAUAUGUCAGACAAAAAGACUAUAACCAUUUAAUUCCAUAUAUAAAAGCCUAUCUUGGUGGUGUAGUGGUUAAGAGCUCGGCUGCUCACCAAAAGGUUAGCAGUUCAAUCCACCAGGUGCUCCUUGGAAACCCUGUGGGAAAGUUCUACUCUGUCCUGUUGGGUCGCUAUCAGAAUCGACUAGACAGCAAUGAGUUUGGUUUGGUUUUUUAAAGUAGGUAAACUAAUCAAUGCUGAAAGAAAGCAGGACUGUGGUUGCUUCUGUGGGUUAGGAAUUGUUUGGGAUGGGGCAGAAGGGAUGUUUCUGGAGUGAUUGAAAUGUCCUAUAUCUGGAUAAAGGUGUGGCUUAAACAGCUGUUUGCAAUUUUCAAAACUCCUCUAACUCAAUACUUAAAAAAAAAAAAAAGGAUCCAUUUAUUUCACUGUAUAAACUAUACUUAAAUGAAAAUAAAGAUAACUUAGAAAUUAAGCAAAACAAAAGUAAUAAAUGGGGAAAUCCAAUUCUGAAUACUUUUGAAGAACUAAAAAAUAGACAAAUCUUGGGUAAUAUUGACAAUGAAAAAAAAAGAAAUACUUAAUGUGGUAGGCUGAAUAACGCCCCCCCCCCGCCGGAGAUGUCCAUGUCCUGAAUCUGUGAGCUUUACCUGGCAAAAAGGAUUUUACAGAUGUGAUUAAGCGAAAUAUUUUGUGAUGUGGAGGUUAUCCUGGAUUAUCUAGGUGGUCUCAACAUAAUCUCCAAAAAACUAAAACUCAUUGCCAUGGAGUCAGUUUUGACUCAUAGCCACCAGAGUAGAACUACCCCAUAGGGUUUCCAAGGCUGUAAUCUUUACAGUUGAAUCUUUACAGAAACAGACUGCCACCAUCUUUCUCCCAUGGAGCCACCAGGUCUUCCAACAUAAUCACAAGGGUCUUUGUAAGAAGGUGGCAGUAGAGUCAGAGUGAGGGAAGUUUGUGUGACUAUGGAAGCAGAGGGAGGAAAGGUGAUAUGAUGUGGAACUGAUGGCAGUCAGGAAGCUGGAAAAGGCAAGAAAAUGAAUUCUCCCUGAGGGCCUCCAGAGGAACUCAGGCCUCCCAACACCUUGAUUUCAGCUCAGUGAAUCUGAAUUCGGGCUUUUGACCUACGGAACCUUAAGACAAUAAACUGGUAUUUUAAGUUUGUGGUAAUUUGUUUCAGCAACAAUAGGCAAAUAAUGCAAAUCAUAAUAAGAAAGAUUAGAAAGCAGACGUAUCUCUAGAUACAGCAGAAAUAAAAAGCUUAUUAUGAUAAAAUAAUGUGCAAUUUGAGCCAAUAAAUGAACAAGCUCACAGGAAAUAGAACAAUUUCAUAGAAAAAUAUG